CAUACAGUAGGAUUACUAACAGGAAGUUUCGUGAUCACCAUGAAAAGGCUUCCCCCCCUCCAGUGAAUAUUCUCUCAUCUCACACACUGUACAAGCCCCUACAAUUACUGUAUAUUUAUUUGUGAUCAUCUUUUCCUGUUUAGAGAUAAUUGUUCAUUUUUUGUAAUGUUCUUGCUGCCUCCAUAGAGUUGUGUUGUGGGACAGGGGUCAUAUAUUAAGGGGAGGCAUGCGGAGAUGACAAGCUGGACCCAGUUUACAUAUCUGACCCAAAAGUCAGUUCUUAAGGUAUUAUCUAUAAUAUGAUCCUGUGCCUCAUAUACUGAAUUUAGCCCUGUCAUUGGCCUCCAGCUAGUGAAAUACAGCGCUCUGUCUAAUGAUGGAGGUGUUUAUGAGCAUAUUGCGGUGUCAUUAGGGAUUCGUACAUCAGAUCCGUUUUAUAGGGCAGAUCUAGUCAUCCCAUAUAAGCAGUACUAUAAAACAGAAAGGUCAGAGCCCCUGCAGGAACACAGCAGCCGGAGGGACACGUCAGAGGCUGGAGAUUGGGUUUCCCACCUUCUGUUCCCAGUCAGACCCUAAACGUGGCCACAGCGCCCGCUUACACCCACAAAGAUGACACUUCCCUUCUGAGUCGAUGAGGACACAAGAUCUGAAGAUAUGAAUGAAAGACCCUUGAGGGAGUGCACAGCGGCUGAAUGCAAGAUCCCAGCUGUGGGUCAGGGGUGGCUGGAUCCUGUGGUGCUGCAGAGGAAACUCAAUACAUAGUUGAAGAGUUGAAAGAUUUUUACAGUGUUAUUUCUCCCUCCUGCCUGGGGCGUAGCACGUGGUGUUUGCUGUGCUCAUACGUUUAGAGCCCAGAAAGGCCAAAGUACUUGUUGGUUAUUGUUUAACUCCUCUGAAGCCGUCUGCGCCAAUAUCGUGUCUUAAGUAUGAUUCUCUACAGAUAAAUGGUGUCCUACUCCCAACUUUGCCUAGAAACAUCGCACAGACUCAACAGGCCAUGACUUUAUCAUAUGCCAUCAAGUUGAACACAUUUUCCCGUAUGCGUCAAAACAUACAUGUCAGAAUGAAACACAGGGUAGAAAAAUAUGCACUUCAUUUGGUAAAGUACGUGAAUUAAGACCCUAAACAACAGCCUGCCCCAAAAACAUGAGGGAGAGGAGCGGAAAAGGAUCCGUUUGAGAAGUGUCUGCAACAGAAGAAAGACAGAGACAUGGAGCAGGGCUGGUCUGUAUGAGCGGAGAGGGACGUGGGUUAUUGAACAUGCAGAUUGAAGAAACAAAUCACAGCACAAAAUCAGCGUGCCUUCAAUGCAGGGCUCGACAAACAACACAACUUUCCCUCUGUACUAAUCUCCUGUUGUUCUAGAGUAAGGAUUGUAAUGCUUUUUAUUUCUGAAUUCAUCAAUGUAACCGUUUUGUAUACUUUGGGAACAUCUCAGACUUGAGAGAAAGCUUUGGAAAUCUGACCCUGUACGGACAAUGGGUUUUCUGGGCAAUAUAUUCCUGGUCUUGUUGCAUAAAGUAAGUGGGGACUAGUCUACAAAAGUGGAGAUAAAUUGCCCUUAAAAUGAAGAUGACGUUGUAGUUUGGGCGGAGCUGCCGCAUCAGUUGGGGUCCUAGCAAGGGCGGACAGAUAAAGAAUUUGGGGGAGGGCCCGGCAAUGGCGCACCAGCCCUGUGUACAGUAGUCAUGUGUAAGAGUAAAGCCCUGGCAUGUCAACCUUGUUGUGUGAUCCAGUCCUGAGACCUGGGUCACAUUGGGAAUUACAGCUAAGACCAAUUUGUCAUGUUUAUCUUAUUGAUUGCGCUCUUAAUGAAUCCUAUUGAUUCAUCCUCUGGGUCUCUUUCUAGCAGACAGAUAUAUUGCCGUCAGCUGAUUAAUUGUACUGCUGGAGUCCGUACCAGGGCGUGAGGUGCACGGCCUAAUCACAAACUACAUCUAACUGGAUCAGAAUUUGUUUUUUUCUUGAGUUAUGGCAAAAUGUCCAAGUAUUCAAGAACUAUGGCCCUCAUUCCGAGUUGUUCGCUCGCUAGCUGCUUUCAGCAGCAUUGCACACGCUAAGCCGCCGCCCUCUGGGAGUGAAUCUUAGCUUAGUAAAAUAGCGAAGUAUUCGCAAUAUAGCGAAAAUAAAUUUCUUAGCAGUUUCUGAGUAGCUCGAGACCUACUCAAAAAUAGCGAUCAGUUCAGGCCGUUUCGUUCCUGGUUUGACGUCACACACACGCCCAGCGUCCGGCCAACCACUCCCCCGUUUCUCCAGACACUCCCGCGUUUUUGCCUGACACGCCUGCGUUUUUCCGCACACUCCCAGAAAACGGCCAGUUUCCGCCCAGAAACACCCACUUCCUGUCAAUCACACUACGAUCACUUCAACGAUGAAAAAGCUUCGUUCUGCCGUGAGUAAAUCUACUAAGUUCUUAGUAAAAUUACUACCCGCAUGCGCACUGCGAACCAUGCGCAUGCGCAUUUUUGCCUUAAUCGCUCCGUUGCGAAAAUCGUCAACGAGCGAACAACUCGGAAUGAGGGCCAAUAUACGGGCAAUAAAAUUUUACAGGUGAAAUACUGUUAUUUUUCCAUUUUGGAAAACAAAAUGUUUGUAAAACUUCUCCUAUAACGCAAAGAGAAAAUAAAUAAUACCAAUAUCUAUAA